rnacentral:rRNA from 1 species
AGUGAACGCUGGCGGUAGGCCUAACACAUGCAAGUCGAACGGCAGCACAGUAAGAGCUUGCUCUUACGGGUGGCGAGUGGCGGACGGGUGAGGAAUACAUCGGAAUCUACUUUUUCGUGGGGGAUAACGUAGGGAAACUUACGCUAAUGCCGCAUACGACCUACGGGUGAAAGCAGGGGAUCUUCGGACCUUGGGCGAAUGAAUGAGCCGAUGUCGGAUUAGCUAGGUGGCGGGGUAAAGGCCCACCAAGGCGACGAUCCGUAGCUGGUCUGAGCGGAUGAUCAGCCACACUGGAACUGAGACACGGUCCAGACUCCUACGGGAGGCAGCAGUGGGGAAUAUUGGACAAUGGGGGCAAGCCUGAUCCAGCCAUACCGCGUGGGUGAAGAAGGCCUGCGGGUUGUAAAGCCCUUUUGUUGGGAAAGAAAAGCAGCAGGUUAAUACCCCGCUGUUCUGACGGUACCCAAAGAAUAAGCACCGGCUAACUUCGUG